CUGAAACGGAGUUUGGAACAUCUGUGCGUCACAACGGGUGUUGGUGAGUCAUGGCUGAAGUCAGAGGCUGGCAUGUGGGGGGAGCUGUCACAGGACUGCUGACAGAUUGGGCUGCAUCCAGGGAUGGACCAUCAUCACAGACCCCCACCACCACCACACAGAGAAUUUGGCAGUACGUCCAACCAGCCUCACAACCGCAGACCAUGUGUAACCACUCCAGUCCAAGACCUCCACAUCCGGCUUCUUCACCUGCGGGAUCGUCUGAGACCAGCCACCCAGACAGCUGUUGAAACUGAGGAGUAUUUCUGUCUGUAAUAAUGCCUUUUUGUGGGGAAAACCUCAUUCUGAUUGGCUGGGUAGGCCUGACUCCCAAGUGGGUGGGGCUAUGCCCUCCCAGGCCCACCCAUGGCUGUGCCCCUGCCCAGUCAUGUGAAAUCCAUAAAUGCUGGCCUAAUGAAUUUAUUU
rnacentral:lncRNA from 1 species